AUUCCAGCUCCAAUAGCGUAUAUUAAAGUUGCUGCAGUUAAAAAGCUCGUAGUUGGAUUUGUGGCGCGGCCGUCCGGCGGGGCUCCUUCAUUGGGGCCGUUUGUCUGGUUUUUCGGCCGCUCCAUUCUCGGGUAGUGUGUCGCUGGCAUUAGGUUGUCGGCUUCUUCACGCCCGUCGUUUACUGUGAAAAAAUUAGAGUGUUCAAAGCAGGCUUAGGCCAUUGGAUACAUUAGCAUGGAAUAAUGAGAUAGGGCCACGACGGUCUAUUUUGUUGGUUUGCACGUUGUGGUAAUGAUUAACAGGAACGGUUGGGGGUAUUCGUAUUCAAUUGUCAGAGGUGAAAUUCUUGGAUUUAUGGAAGACGAACUACUGCGAAAGCAUUUACCAAGGAUGUUUUCAUUG
rnacentral:rRNA from 1 species